rnacentral:lncRNA from 1 species
AAUACCUGUUUUCUCCCCUAGACAACUCAAACAAAACAAAAGAAAGAGAAAAAUAGGGCCAAAUGGCCCAAAAGUCGAAGACGCAUCACACCUACACACUUAAACCAUACUUGCCCUCAAGUAUGCAGAUGGAUUCACAAAAGACACCGACGAAAAGAGAAGAAAGAAAAGAAAUAAAGACUCAAGACACGAAACUGCACAGUUAUCAGUUCAGA